rnacentral:rRNA from 1 species
UAAGUAGAUAGUGAAAUCUGGUGGCUCAACCAUUCAGACUAUUAUCUAAACUGCUAAGCUCGAGACCGUUAGGGGUAGCUGGAAUUUCUAGUGUAGGAGUGAAAUCCGUAGAUAUUAGAAAGAACACCGAUAGCGUAGGCAGGCUACUGGGGCGGUUCUGACACUAAGGCACGAAAGCGUAGGGAGCAAACGGGAUUAGAUACCCCGGUAGUCUACGCCGUAAACGAUGGAUGCUA